ACACCAGUUGUAGAAAAGACUCCAGAAUAUCACCAAAAAAAGAAUUGGGCAAUUUGAAGUCUUUGAUGAAUCAUCAUUCCAGCUUCCAAAUCUCCUGUGAGGAUGAGGAUCUCUGAGCUCACACCUCCUCACCCAGUUCACCCUCUGCCUGCUGGAUGCACACUGCAGAACUGGAACUAACAGAGAAGCCGUCCCUGUACAGGAUACUGAGAAGACUGGCAGGACUUUUUGGUCAUUGAAAUGUAACUAUGACAUCUAUCCAAAAGUGCCACUGGAAGAAUGAGGAGUGGAAUAGAACAAAAGCCACUACAUUUAUGAACAAGCAGAUGGUACCUGGGAGCCUGACUUAGCCAUACUGGAGGUGAAGUGAAGCCUGAUCUGUGGAAAGCUGGGAGUGGCAGUGCAGCACCUGCUCAGGUGCCACCUGUGUGACACUGUCAGGAGUCUUCCAAGCUGCCAGCGAGGGAGAGGAGGAUCAGUUUGCAUAGCCUGAGGUAAUGAUGGCUUUGGUGCAGAGGAUGGGACGUGCUGGGAUGUACCAUAGGGUAGAGUCAGCUCGCUAAUUCAUACUGUGAAGAAGCUGUGAAAGUGGAAAAUGGAAAGUACCUCCUUGCCUUGGUGAAGAAUUAAAGAAUUAAGGCAGGCAGCAGCAGCCUGUGGCCAGGGUGCCACAAGAGAGAAGUUGCAGUCAGAGGCCGCUGCUCUUCCCACCUGUGGAUCCCCUUUUUCCCCAGAUGAUGCUGAUACAAGUCAGAAGGAGAGGCCUCCAUGGCCCACACCAGGAUAUCUCCUUUAUUUGUUCAGGUGACAGCAUUUCCUGUGCAAAGGACUGCCAAGUAGCUGCUUAUGAAUGCUGCUCCAAGGCUGUGGGCUGCUCCCCAGCGUGGUGAGUGCAUCGCCCUGCUCGUGUGAGGCUAAUCCAGCAGCAAGCCCUCAGAGGACACCAGUGACUCUGCCUGAUGCUCCCCUGUCCCAUCCUCAGCACAUGAUGCCUUAAAAAUUCUUGGACUCACACGAGGUUAAACUGCUGCUACAUCACAGUGCCCUUCAUCUUCUGGAAUGAGCUUCAAACACCAUUAUACAAAUGCCUGGCUUGUUUGGUUCACAGCUGCGUUUACAGUUGCUUCAAGGACAAGGAACAACACUUUCCAGUGAUGCUUUUGUUGCCUCAGUGUUGGGGUCACAAAUAAUUCCUGUCUGGAUUCACACACCGGCCUUGGAGCAGCAGUGGAGACUCCAGUCCUGGCCAGGAGAGCACAACCCCAGCCAUGUGAGUAAGAGACCCCCUGCACACACAGCACCCCUUGGGCACUGCCUGGGGGACACUAUGCCUCCCUCCAAGGACACUUUUUAACCUUAAGUUGGCACCCUCAGCACCUGCACUGCCAGGCCAAACUGCUGGUUUGCUCACAGGCUGUUAAUAUUUUUUAAUGUUUCUGUCUUAAUCUAUUUUGUAUUGCCAUUUAUUUAUUUUUUU